AAGCAUAUCAAUAAGCGGAGGAAAAGAAACCAACAGGGAUUGCCCUAGUAACGGCGAGUGAAGCGGCAACAGCUCAAAUUUGAAAUCUGGCCUUCGGGUCCGAGUUGUAAUUUGUAGAGGAUGCUUUUGGCGCGGUGCCUUCCGAGUUCCCUGGAAUGGGACGCCUUAGAGGGUGAGAGCCCCGUAUGGUUGGACACCAAGCCUCUGUAAAGCUCCUUCGACGAGUCGAGUAGUUUGGGAAUGCUGCUCUAAAUGGGAGGUAAAUUUCUUCUAAAGCUAAAUAUUGGCCAGAGACCGAUAGCGCACAAGUAGAGUGAUCGAAAGAUGAAAAGCACUUUGAAAAGAGGGUUAAAUAGCACGUGAAAUUGUUGAAAGGGAAGCGUUUGCGACCAGACCUUUUCGUAGCGGAUCAUCCGGUGUUCUCACCGGUGCACUUCGCUUCGUUUAGGCCAGCAUCGGUUUCUGUAGGGGGAUAAAAGCUUGGGGAACGUAGCUCCCUCGGGAGUGUUAUAGCCCCUCGCAUAAUACCCUUACGGGGACCGAGGACCGCGCUUUAUGCAAGGAUGCUGGCGUAAUGGUCGUCAACGACCCGUCUUGAAACACGGACCAAGGAGUCGAACAUUUAUGCGAGUGUUUGGGUGUUAAACCCUCACGCGUAAUGAAAGUGAACGGAGGUGAGAGCCCUUACGGGUGCAUCAUCGACCGAUCCUGAUGUCUUCGGAUGGAUUUGAGUAAGAGCAUAACUGUUCGGACCCGAAAGAUGGUGAACUAUGCGUGGAUAGGGUGAAGCCAGAGGAAACUCUGGUGGAGGCUCGCAGCGGUUCUGACGUGCAAAUCGAUCGUCAAAUCUGCGCAUGGGGGCGAAAGACUAUCGAACCAU
rnacentral:rRNA from 1 species